rnacentral:tRNA from 1 species
GCCUUCGUGGUGAAAUGGUAGCACACUCGGCUCAUAUCGAGAAGUCCACGUUCAAGUCCCGGCGAGAGCA